GAAGCCCCGGCUAACUUCGUGCCAGCAGCCGCGGUAAUACGAAGGGGGCUAGCGUUGUUCGGAUUUACUGGGCGUAAAGCGCACGUAGGCGGAUCGUUAAGUCGGGGGUGAAAUCCUGGAGCUCAACUCCAGAACUGCCUUCGAUACUGGCGAUCUUGAGUCCGGAAGAGGUGAGUGGAACUCCUAGUGUANAGGUGGAAUUCGUAGAUAUUAGGAAGAACACCAGUGGCGAAGGCGGCUCACUGGUCCGGUACUGACGCUGAGGUGCGAAAGCGUGGGGAGCAAACAGGAUUAGAUACCCUG
rnacentral:rRNA from 1 species